rnacentral:tRNA from 1 species
GUUGUGACUCAGGGGUAAAGCACUCGCCUAGCACGCGUGAGGCACUGGGUUCGAUCCUCAGAACAACA